UUAUCGAGUGUCAUGUCAUCGCU
rnacentral:siRNA from 1 species